rnacentral:rRNA from 1 species
AUUGAACACUGGCGGCAUGCCUUACACAUGCAAGUCGAACGGCAGCACGGGGGCAACCCUGGUGGCGAGUGGCGAACGGGUGAGUAAUACAUCGGAAUGUACCCAGUAGUGGGGGAUAACCAGUCGAAAGACUGGCUAAUACCGCAUACGCACUGAGGUGGAAAGCGGGGGAUCGCAAGACCUCGCGCUAUUGGAGCAGCCGAUGUCCGAUUAGGUAGUUGGUGGGGUAAAGGCCCACCAAGCCUGCGAU